GCUAUUCGUAGCUCAGCGGCAGAGUAUCUCCACUCAGUACCGUUUGAAUUCGUAAAGAUGAUGUGGGUUCGAUUCCCACCGAAGGCA